rnacentral:rRNA from 1 species
AAAACGACUCUCGGCAACGGAUAUCUCGGCUCUCGCAUCGAUGAAGAACGUAGCGAACUGCGAUACUUGGUGUGAAUUGCAGAGUCCCGUGAACCAUCGAGUCUUUGAACGCAAGUUGCGCCCGAAGCCAUUAGGCCGAGGGCACGUCUGCCUGGGCGUCACGC